GAUGAACGCUGGCGGCGUGCCUAAUACAUGCAAGUCGAGCGAACGGACGAGAAGCUUGCUCCUCUGAUGUUAGCGGCGGACGGGUGAGUAACACGUGGAUAACCUACCUAUAAGACUGGGAUAACUUCGGGAAACCGGAGCUAAUACCGGAUAAUAUUUUGAACCGCAUGGUUCAAAAGUGAAAGACGGUCUUGCUGUCACUUAUAGAUGGAUCCGCGCCGCAUUAGCUAGUUGGUAAGGUAACGGCUUACCAAGGCAACGAUGCAUAGCCGACCUGAGAGGGUGAUCGGCCAGACUGGAACUGAGACACGGUCCAGACUCCUACGGGAGGCAGCAGUAGGGAAUCUUCCGCAAUGGGCGAAAGCCUGACGGAGCAACGCCGCGUGAGUGAUGAAGGUGUUCGGAUCGUAAAACUCUGUUAUUAGGGAAGAACAAAUGUGUAAGUAACUGUGCACAUCUUGACGGUACCUAAACAGAAAGCCACGGCUAACUACGUG
rnacentral:rRNA from 1 species